rnacentral:rRNA from 1 species
UACAGAGGUGGCAAGCGUUGUUCGGAAUUACUGGGCGUAAAGGGCGCGUAGGCGGUUCGUUAAGUCCUGUGUGAAAUCCCUCGGCUUAACUGAGGACGUGCGGAAGAAACUGCAAGGCUCGAGUCCGGGAGAGGGGGGUGGAAUUCCCAGUGUAGCGGUGAAAUGCGUAGAUAUUGGGAGGAACACCGGUGGCGAAGGCGGCCCCCUGGACCGGUACUGACGCUGAGGCGCGAAAGCGUGGGUAGCAAACGGG